UUAAUUAUUUGCUUGUUACUUCAGGCGGCACGGUUGUUCAGGGUUGGAGUCCGGCGGGGGGCCUUUUAGGGGCCCCCUUUUCGCGCCGAAGGGUCGCGGCUCGACGGAGGGUGGGGUUGAGCGCCGGAGCGCCUGGUGACCCAGUAAUGAUCCUUCCGCAGGUUCACCUACGGAAA
rnacentral:misc_RNA from 1 species